rnacentral:tRNA from 1 species
GGCGGUAUAGCCAAGUGGUAAGGCAGGGGAUUGCAAAUCCCCCAUUCCCCAGUUCAAAUCUGGGUGCCGCCU